rnacentral:tRNA from 1 species
CCUCACGUGGCGUACAAGUAACGCGCCCUAACUAGAGAUCAGGGAGUCGUGAGUUCGAUUCUCACCGAAAGUC